GGAAACAGAACACCAGGAAACAAAAAAGUCUAAAAGUAUACAUUAAUCUCAGGACUAACCCCACCACUAAUGACAUCUGCUCAGCACAGCCAAAGCAUUUUCUUUCUGCCAAGCUCCCUCCUGGUGAUGCUGGCUCCAGGGGCCAAGGCCUUCACCUGAGCUCUCUGAUGCAAAUCUUCCAGACCCUAAAUAACUGUGCCCUUCAUGCCACUCUUUGAAUGUUUCUGGCUUGGAAACACUGCUGUCCCAUAGCAAGGAGAGCCUGGAAGAAAAUGAGUCCCUUACAGGGACAAAAGGAAGUAUUUUGAGUGCUCAAAUCCUGUUCCAAUUUGUGUCCCUCUGAAGCCUGAGGAACUACCCUGCCCCUCGGUGGCAUGCAGUUCAGAUUUGCUGGACUUAGGACCACAUUUGUGGUUUACAAUGGCUGCUUAGUGCUGCUCCACACUUGCCUUUAUAUCCCUCUGAAGAAGGACUCAUUAAGCUACUAUACAGAUUGCUCACACUUGGCGGAUCACGUCCCUAAGAUGCCUAGACACCCAGGGUUCUGUGUUGGACACCAUGAAGAAUACAGCAGUGGAUAACACAGCCUUGCCCUUGGGAUUUCACAGGCAGUCCAAGAACAAUGCCAUGAGAGCCUCACAGAGGCUCAUGUAAAAGCAUCCGAGCAUCUUGUAAAAGCAGAGAAGGGAGAGACUUCUUCCCUAUGGGGAAGAGAAGAGAGUCUUCAGGGAAGAGGGAGCCCUGGAGGAGGUCACGAAUGAUAAGAAGAGUUUUGUGUUCUCUACCCUGAGGAAGUCCCUCCUCCACUUCUGAAAAGCCCAGGUUCUACUUCGACCUCACCAGUGUUACAGGACGGCAGGGUGGGGGAGGGCUGUAGAAUGGGGAAGAGUCUGUACACCUGCUAUGUAUGGCUGUUGGUGGGUUUUUCUUUGUGCCUUUUUUUUCCUGUUUGUUUAAUGCAUAUUUUUUCCUCCUGCCUUCAGGACACAGUGACCUAUAUUUCAGUUUUGGCAAGGGACAAUGCCAGAGUGUGGGAAGGAAGAGCCCUGGGAAGAGAUAGUUAAACUUUGGCAGGCUAAUGUUUGAUGCUGCUUCAUUGCCUUCUUACUUUUAAAUAUAAGAACCACACCAUCCAGAGAAGGAACAAAGACAGGUGACCUCUCAAGACCCUUUUCCACUACUGUGACUCUGAAGUGCCCAGGAAUAUAUUUUUUUAAAUGCAUGUAAACACUAGAUGCAUAGGACCCCUUGAGCGUUCCUAAAAUAUGUCUUGGACCCUCUUACUGCUCUGCUUAACAGCUUCAAUGAGUAUCUCCUAUCUAGAGAAUAAAACUUCAAAUUCCUCAUGGUGGCAUUCAAGACACUUCAAAUUCUAGCCUCUACCUUGGCACCUGCUACUUUCCUCCGAUCUCCCACCAGACAUACCAAGCCAUAUGUUCCUCCCUGCACAUACUGGCUCUAUCCCCCAUGACAGCUCAGCCAAUUCUCUACCACCUUGCCCCAUCUCUCUAAGUCCCACUCACCUUCCUGCCCCAGUUCAGAAUUCAUCGUCUUUGGGAAGUCUCCCCCAUCCCAUCUGCCACCUUCCCAGGCAAAAUCAACUUCUUUCUCCUUUGAGUUUCCAUUAUCAUUCAAUUUUUUUCUGUUACACUUUUCUUAACCUGCCUUGGAAUCCAGCAAGCUGUGCUCAUUCCUGUCUGUUGCUAAAGACUAAAAGCUCUCUGAGGGAAGAGUAAAAUAUAGACUUCUCUCUUUCUGCCACAUAGCAUCUCACACCAAGGAAAAGGCAGGUCUUCUAACCUGCCUUAGUAAGGUGACGAAAUUCUCACCUCAUCUAAGAACCUGUUUAGAUUUUCCUAAAUUCCAGAGAUUUUCUUCAAGCUAGAAGAAGAACAGGUUGGGCAGGAUAAGAAGGUUUCAAAAGUUUUGUUUGUUUGUUUUUUUAUGUGUGAACAUUUUGAUGUAUUUCUUUCCAUUUUUUUAUUGAGUUCAUAAUAGUUUACAUCAAUGUGAGGUUUCAGUUGUACAUUAUUUCUUGUCUGUCACCACAUAAGUGCUCCCUUUCACCCCCUGUGCCCACCCCCCAUCCCCCUUCCCCUGGUAACCACUGAACUGUUUUCUUUGUCCACGUGUUUAGACAUGUUCCAUAUAUGAGUGAAAUCAUCCAGUGUUUGUCUUUCUC
ensembl:lncRNA